rnacentral:tRNA from 1 species
GCGCCGUUAGCUCAGAAGGAUAGAGCGCGGGACUUCUAAUCCCGAUGCCGCAGGUUCGAUUCCUGCACGGCGCA